rnacentral:rRNA from 1 species
UGGAUCCAGACUUUGAUUCUGGCUCAGGACGAACGCUGGCGGCGUGCCUAACACAUGCAAGUCGAACGGAACUAUAUUGAAAGAUUUCUUCGGAAUGAAAGCGAUAUAGUUCAGUGGCGGACGGGUGAGUAACGCGUGAGUAACCUGCCUCUAAGAGGGGGGUAACAAUCUGAAAAGAUUGCUAAUACCGCAUAAUAUAUUUGAAUCGCAUGGUUUGAAUAUCAAAGAUUUUAUCGCUUAGAGAUGGACUCGCGUCCGAUUAGUUAGUUGGUGAGGUAACGGCUCACCAAGACCGCGAUCGGUAGCCGGACUGAGAGGUUGAACGGCCACAUUGGGACUGAGACACGGCCCAGACUCCUACGGGAGGCAGCAGUGGGGGAUAUUGCGCAAUGGGGGCAACCCUGACGCAGCAACGCCGCGUGAAGGAUGAAGGUUUUCGGAUUGUAAACUUCUUUUAUUAAGGACGAAAAAUGACGGUACUUAAUGAAUAAGCUCCGGCUAACUACGUGCCAGCAGCCGCGGUAAUACGUAGGGAGCAAGCGUUGUCCGGAUUUACUGGGUGUAAAGGGUGCGUAGGCGGCUUUGCAAGUCAGAUGUGAAAUCUAUGGGCUCAACCCAUAAACUGCAUUUGAAACUGUAGAGCUUGAGUGAAGUAGAGGCAGGCGGAAUUCCCCGUGUAGCGGUGAAAUGCGUAGAGAUGGGGAGGAACACCAGUGGAGAAGGCGGCCUGGUGGGCUUUAACUGACGCCGAGGCACGAAAGCGUGGGUAGCAAACAGGAUUAGAUACCUUGGUAGUCCACGCUGUAAACGAUGAUU